rnacentral:rRNA from 1 species
AUUGAACUCUGGCGGCAGGCCUAACACAUGCAAGUCGGGCGAGCGGCGGACGGGUGAGUAAUGUAUGGGGAUCUGCCUGAUUGCGGGGGAUAACUACUGGAAACGGUAGCUAAUACCGCAUACCAUCAGAUGACCCCAUAUGGGAUUCGCUAGUUGGUGAGGUAACGGCUUACCUAGGCGACGAUCCAUAGCUGGUCGGAGAGGAUGACCAGCCACACUGGAACUGAGAAACGGUCCAGACUCCGACGGUGGGCAGCAGUGUGGAAUAUUGCACAAUGGGCGCAAGCCUGAUGCAGCCAUGACGCGUGUGUGAAGAAGGCCUUCGGGGUGUAAAGAACUUUCAGCGAGGAGGCGUUACUCGCAGAAGAAGCACCGGCUAACACCGUGCCAGCAGCCGCGGUAAUUC